AAUCAACGCUGGCGGCGUGCCUCAGACAUGCAAGUCGAACGCGAAAGUUCCCUUCGGGGAGCGAGUAGAGUGGCGCACGGGUGAGUAACACGUAGGUAAUGUACCUUUGGGUGGGGAAUAACAUCGGGAAACCGAUGCUAAUACCGCAUAAUGCAGCGGCUCGACAUCGAGACAGUUGUUAAAGCAUUUAUGCGCCUGAAGAGCAGCCUGCGGCAGAUUAGCUUGUUGGUAAGGUAAUGGCUUACCAAGGCUACGAUCUGUAACCGACCUGAGAGGGUGGUCGGUCACACUGACACUGAAUAACGGGUCAGACUCCUACGGGAGGCAGCAGCCGGGAAUUUUGGGCAAUGGGCGAAAGCCUGACCCAGCAACGCCGCGUGAAGGAUGAAGUCUCUCGGGAUGUAAAACUUCGUAAGAAUAGGAAGAAUAAAUGACGGUACUAUUUGUAAGGUCCGGC
rnacentral:rRNA from 1 species